UACAUUCUUCUAGUUUGCCAUCACUCUCCAGACUUGUGAUCUUCCUCUUGGCCUGACAGUACCUAAUCUUGGCCAGGAGACACAUCACAGUUAUCAAGCCUCCUUCCAUGAACCAUCUUCUGAGGAUAUGGCAGGUGACACCAUGUCCUUCUUAGCCUGAAAAAGCCUGAGAACACCCAGGUCUUUGCAUUCUAGGUCAAAUUGCAUCUCCAUGGAACUGCACCUUCCAGCCACUCAGAAACUACAGCUGAGGAAACGCAGCAGGACACAGUCCCUCAGCUGUGUUUGCCACCAAGAGCUUGUGAGCUCCAGGCUCCUGGCCACCAGCUGGACAACUCCCAAGUGAAGAUUGAGCUAUUCUUCAAAUGGGCUGCUAUGGGGAAUCUUUUCUUUCCAUGUGUGCCUCUAUUAUAAUCAGACAAGAGUGUUCAUCCUGGCAGUUGCUUCCUUCUCUGAAGUGCUGGGACUGGCCAAAAACUGAGGCUUUUUCAUGUAUUACUCCUAGCUGCAUGUUCUAGCUGCCUGAAAACAGCCCUGAAAAUGUCUCCCAGAGCACCUCCCAUUUUCCUGCCAUUGUGCCCCUGUCAGAAGUGACUUUCAGAGAGCACAGCCUUGACCACAGGAGCCAUGCAGGUCAGCCCAAGCAAUGGAUGGGGAUAUGCUGAGGCAGAGGCCACUUCCCCUCCUUGGAAAAAGUCUUUAAUGGUAGCUGAUCACUUCAGAAAUGGUGUAAGAAUGGUGACCUAGGAUGUGAAACAAUCUCUUAAUGAGAAAGUGAAGGGCAUCUGCAUGUAUUUCUGAACAAGGCUUUAAUAACCUAUUUUAUGCUAGUGGGGGUUUUGCUUGUGUAUGCAGAUAUGCAAAUCAGGACCAAGUGCUCACAUAGACCAAAAAUACAAACCAAUGCAUAUAUUAAUUCACUGCAUCAUUAAUAGUCAAACAGCCAUUUGUUAACAGGCUAAAUUGCAAUCAUCAUCUUUUGAGCAUUAUUUUAAAGGAGUUCCAUAAUUCAGAAAUUUCACAUCUUACUAAGUCAUUGAGAAUCUCUUCAAAAUGGAAAAGUAGAAAAAAAUUUACUUUUUUUUUUUUCUAAAAAAGACCUUUUUUAGUUACUUAAAUGCAUUUAGGCAAUUUUACAAUGGAAAAGCUUUGGGGUUUUUUAAUUGUUUCCAUUUCAUUUGCAUUUUUUAUUACACCUCUAGCUGGACUUUGUUUGUUUACAGCAAUCGCUUUUAAAAUACCACCUUGGGAAGCAAAUGUUCUUUUCUAUUCUCUGCAUGGCCACAUGCCUUUUGUAUCCUAAACUUUUCGGAGGUAGUCAUAUGAUUAAAUAGAUUUAAAGAAAGUGCAUGCACCUGGCUGUAUAUAAUAAGGAGAUGAUUGAAUGGUGUUGGUGACGUAAACUCAGAAGGGAAGUGAUAAUGUGCAUUAGAGCAUUAUAUUCCCCACUGACUGGCUGUGUUUUAUUUCACCUGCAAACAAGAAAACACAGCAGGAGAUAUAUCUUGCCCAGCCCCUGAGCUGAACACCUUGCCAGGCUUAGUUUGCUAAGUAUGCAGAGCUCCUGCACUGACGGUGCUGCUCACACGCUGCCAGGAGUGACAUGCCAUCUCUCAAAGGACAGCUUCUUGGAAACCCUGGGGCUCCUCCUGGCCUACUUGACCUGCAGAAAAAAAGGCUCUUGAGAAAAGGAGUUGCCUCUUUUGAUGUCCCCUGCAUCCCUAUCCUCAAAGUUGAAGUCACUGAGGAAAGGCAAACCCAGCAUCCUCUGCAGGCUCUGAUCCAGAGGGCACUUCUGCCCUGCACCAGGGGGGUGGGCUGCGAGGGGCUGAGCAGCAAUCACCUCUUCAAUAGAGGUGAACACAUGAGGUCAGAUGUGUGAGAAACCAUCCAGAGCCUUCAUCUCAAGGCUGAGCCAAAUUUGUUGGAAAAUACUUCAAAAUAUGCCACUUAGGGGGAAUAAAAAAAAAUCUUAUGCUGGGCAGUCUCUUUUCCUCUGCCUCAGUGUUUUCUGAAUCAAAAUGAUAAAAUGCUUUUGGAUUUUCUUUGUUUCAUUUUAAGGAAGAACAGAACAAACAAAAUUACAAAGUGAACAAGACACUGACUUCCCUUGGGAGAUUUUUUUUUCAGUUCUUCAGGUCAGUGUGGUCCUUGUGGUUGGGUGACAUUUCACUAAAAAUCCAGACUUUAGACUUGCAUCUAUUUGAAGUGAAACUGCAAAUCCAGCCACUACUGAUGAGAACUGUAAUGCUGAUUGUUCUUAUUCUAACUACAUCGUCUAUGGGAAUGACAUCACUGAGUACCUAAAAGACCUGACAUCAUCAAAAAAUUGCAUUCUACUUGUACUGUAAAAAUAGAUCAUAAUUAUUUCUGUAGUCUCUAAAAAGAAAUUGAUUUUUUGUGCCUUCUGUGAAUGCUGCAAUGCUAUUUUAGUGUAAUGCUUUUAUGUCUAUGGCAGCCAAUUGCUUUGACCCUGAAGUCUUUCUUGCAGCAGUGCUGACUUGCUGAAUCAGAGUUCAUUCAUAUCCUCUUGCCACAGAAUAAUAUGCUGAAUACAAAACUUGCCAUAAUAGCAAUAAAAAAAAUGCCACGAGAUAACACAAAAAUAAAUAUAAAUGAAAACAUGGAAAAUACGUAAAAUAAUAAUAAAAGAUCUGUCAAGUUCAAGCAAAUGUGAAUGGCAGUGUGACUUUACAUGCCACAAUUUUAAGUAUUGCUCUUUAUCCUUAUAUGAAGGGUUCAUAUGAGAUCUUUAUCUGGCUUCCUCUGGUGUUUCAGUGAUGGUAAAAACACGAAAGUCAGAGAAUUCAA